AUUUAAAUGCUAAAGGGCAGCUCCUCUACUGAAGGCAACUGAAGCCAAGAGAGCUGUGACAGUUUAUGCCAGCUGAAGAUUUGCCUUUAAGUAAAUGUUUUAAACUUUUCACUAAGGAGACUAAAAUAAGCCAUAGCAUGAAACGUUAAGAGCAAAGAAUGAACUCUGGAGACCAGAGGGAUUUGGGAAAUGAAAUGAGAUCCAUCUUACUGGCACAUUUCCCCCUCCGUCUAUUUUUGGAAUUUAAAAAAUUCCCCCAGAUUUGUCUUCUACAGACCAGCUUUUUGUUCACAGACCAGCACUGAGCAGCCUCCUCUUUCACACAGGGCAGGCAUACUGAUACGCUUUGUGAAAACUAAACUAGGAACACCUGCAGAGCCCCCUGGUGAGCCCCAGUGGAGGGGCUCUGAACUGAAGAGGAACACAUCUAAUGAUGCCCUGAAGUUUAGUCUGAGUAUCUCCAAAUGGAGCAUAGCUGGAAAAACAAAUCAUCUGGGGAAUGCAUUGUCUGGCUGCACAGGCCACAGCUCCAAACAGGAUGUAGUGAAGCUGCUUUGUCUCCUUGCAGCAUGAUCCAGCUGUGCUACACGAUGGAGAAGGUUCAAGUGUGUCAGCUCCUGGUCUGAAUGUGGAAACAGCAGAAACACGCUGUGUAGGUGGCUUACACUGUGUAGCCAGCGAACGUGCCUGCAGAUACAUGGGCAAUACCAGCACAAAGGCUACUUGCUUACCAGCCCACGCACAAAUCUGUUCCACGCUCCGCAUGGGAAGAGGCAGCAGCAUCGCGGAUGAGCGAAGGCUGCAGGGUGCUGAUAUUUGGGUGAAAAUCCACACCCCACUGUGUUAUUCAUCCCUCACCAGUCCUCCAAAAUCUCCUCCCCCAGGAUAGUUUUUUGGACAGCAUCGGGAUAAAUUCUGCUGGAGGAUGGCAGAACAGGCCAAGGAGUGAGUCAAAAAUACCCACUCGUUUGAGGGAAUGAAGUAGUGUGGAAGGACUGGGUGCUAUUAAGUUGAAAGCUGUUUGUGUAGCACGGCUGCCUAACAAACAACCCUUUCAAAUAAAUUCUGAAUAAGAAU
ensembl:lncRNA